rnacentral:rRNA from 1 species
UAGGACGUUGAUAGGCAGGGUGUGUAAGCGUUGUGAGGCGUUGAGCUAACCUGUACUAAUGACUCGUGAGGCUUAACCAUACAACCCAAAAGGGUUU